UCUUUUAAAUGGAGACCUGUAUGAAUGGCAUAACGAGGGCUUAGCUGUCUCCUUUUUCAAGUCAAUGAAAUUGAUCUCCCCGUGCAGAAGCGGGGAUACGAACAUAAGACGAGAAGACCCUAUGGAGCUUUAGACACCAAAGCAGACCAUGUUAAACACCCCAAAAUAAAGGUCCAAACCAAAUGACUCCCUGCUCUAAUGUCUUUGGUUGGGGCGACCGCGGGGAAACACAAAACCCCCACGUGGAACGAGAACACUUCCUCUCACAACCAAGAGCUCCCGCUCUAAUAAACAGAAAUUCUGACCAUCAAUGAUCCGGCAAAGCCGAUCAACGGACCGAGUUACCCUAGGGAUAACAGCGCAAUCCCCUUUUAGAGGCCAUAUCGACAAGGGGGUUUACGACCUCGAUGUUGGAUCAGGACAUCCUAAUGGACCCCUUUCUUUUUCUUCCCCC
rnacentral:rRNA from 1 species